rnacentral:misc_RNA from 1 species
GAUGAAGAACGCAGCGAAAUGCGAUAAGUAAUGUGAAUUGCAGAACUCAGUGAAUCAUCGAAUCUUUGAACGCACAUUGCGCCCACUGGUAUUCCGGUGGGCAUGCCUGUUCGAGCGUCAUUAUCCUCCCUCAAACCCCGGGUUUGGUGUUGGACCCAAGUUGUGUGAACAACUGGUCUCAAAGACAAUGACGGCGUCCGUGGGACCCUCGGUGCAACGAGCUUUUAGGAGCACGCAUCGAGUUGCAAGGACCUUCCGGGCCGGUCUCCUUUACCAUUUUACAAGGUUGACCUCGGAUCAGGUAGGAAUACCCGCUGAACUUAAGCAUAUCAAUAAGCGGAGGA